GGCGCGCCGGGGGCGGGGGCGCGGGGCGGGCCGGGGCGCACGCGCCGCCCGGGCCUGGAGCUCAACGAACCGCUUCGUUGCGCCCGUAACCCCGACGGCGGCACAGAACAAUAGGAACCAACGUUACCAACCGGUACCGGACCGGAACCGGGCCCGGAACGGGGCCUUGAGCUCCGAUAGGAUCCUUCAUGAGAGGCCUCAAUUUCAUCCCCGUUCUAUAUAUACACGUAGCUGAGGGUUCGGUUCGACCCCCGGAACAACAGGACUGCCACUGUUGAGUCUGUGGGAGUAUGAAUCAGCAGCAGCAGAGAAUGGCUGCAGUUGGGACAGACAAAGAGCUCAGUGACCUGCUGGACUUCAGUAUGAUGUUUCCCCUGCCAGUGGCUAAUGGAAAAAACAGACCCACGACCCUAGCAAGCACUCAGUUUGGAGGAUCAGGUUUGGAUGAAAGACCGGGAUCAGGUUCCUGGGGAACGGGAGAUCAAAACAGCUCCACGUUUGACCAAGGAAGGCAGAGCUAUGGUGAAGGCCCCCACUACGGCGAGCACCGGGACCUGCCGUCGCACAACAGCUUGUCUUCAUCUCCAUUCCUGGGACCUGGACUAGUGGGGAAGAGCGGUGAAAGAGCCUCGUACUCCACGUUUGGAAGAGACGCCGGGAUGCCAGGACUGAGCCAGACCGGUUUCCUGCCCAGCGAAAUGGGAAUCGCCAGUCCGAGCACGCUUUCCCCCACAGGAGUGAAGGGGGGGUCUCAGUAUUUUUCUUACCCCAACAAUCCUCGCAGGAGAGGUGCUGAGAGCAGCAUAGCAGAUGGACAGCCCAAAAAGGUUCGGAAGGUGCCUCCUGGACUCCCCUCCUCGGUGUAUCCAUCCAACUCAGGUGAUGACUACAGCAGGGACCCGGCUGGAUACACUCCCUCGAAACCUCCCAGCACUGUGUACCCCGGAGCCUUCUAUAUGGCAGAUGGGCUCCACAACACGCCAGACCUGUGGAGCUCCCCUGGUGCCAUGAGCCAGUCCAGCUACGGGGCCAUGCUGGGCAGUUCCUCCUCCCCUCUCCCGCAGUCCGCCAGCUUCAACAGUUUACAUCAGCACGAACGCAUGAACUACCAGCUGCAUUCAGGAGAGGUGAAUGGUGGGCUGCCCUCUGUGUCAGGCUUCUCCUCUGCCUCCACCCCAUACGGCGUCUCCAGCCACACGCCACCGAUCAGCGGGGCCGACACCAUGAUGGGUAACAGAGGAACCACGGCUGGAAGCUCGGGAGACGCCCUUGGGAAGGCACUAGCUUCAGUAAGAGCUGCUGCACAUCCCCGACUGUUCCCUGCCCCUGCAGACCUUCCUCUGCACCGAGGACCAUCUAGGCAGUGGGAAGAUGGACGCAUUUAUUCCCCAGAUCACUCUAGCAAUAACUUUUCAUCAAACCCCUCCACACCGGUCGGCUCCCCGCAGGGCCUUGCAGGCACAUCCCAGUGGUCUCGAGCGGGCGGACAGGGUGCCUUAUCUCCCAGCUACGAAGGGAGCCUCCACACUUUACAAAACAAAAUGGAAGACAGGUUGGACGAAGCCAUCCACGUGCUGAGGAAUCACGCCGUGGGCCAGACAGCCACCAUGCCAAGCAACCAUGGGGACAUGCACGGGCUUCUGGGCUCAGCACCCGCACACAGUGCUGCUGUGGGCAGCCUGGGCCAGGCCUUCCCUGCCUCCGUCAUGUCCCUGGGGGGUCGGCACCCCAGCCUGGUGGGAGGAGGUCACCCUGAAGACGGGCUGUCCAGCACCCCCAGCAUGCUCCACAACCAUGUCACACUUCCAUCACAGCCCAGCUCACUCCCCGACCUCAACAGGCAGCAGGACACGUACAGUGGCUUGUCAGGGGGGCUGGGGCGAAGCAGCAUCUCCUCUGGAACCAACGAGAUAAAAAGGGAAGAGAAGGAGGAUGAGGAGAACACAUCAGUGGCGGAUAACUCUGAAGAGGAGAAGAAGGAGCUGAAACCCACCCGGAAUAGAACAAGGUGCUCUUUGAACAGUCAAGAUGAGGAUGAGGAGGACGAUCUUCUUCCCCCAGAGCAAAAAGCCGAGAGAGAAAGAGAAAGGAGGGUCGCCAAUAAUGCCCGUGAGCGCCUGCGGGUCCGUGACAUCAACGAGGCCUUUAAAGAGCUCGGACGCAUGUGCCAACUCCACCUAAACAGCGAAAAACCACAGACCAAACUGCUAAUCCUCCACCAGGCCGUAUCAGUCAUACUGAACCUGGAGCAACAAGUUAGAGCAGUACAGACGAGGCCUUAUCACUGGAGGACAAAGAUCUGAGGGACCGGGAGAGGAGAAUGGCCAAUAACGCCAGGGAGAGGGUGCGCGUGCGGGACAUUAACGAGGCCUUUAAGGAGCUGGGACGCAUGUGUCAGAUGCACUUAAAAACGGACAAAGCACAGACCAAACUGAUCAUCCUCCAGCAAGCGGUGCAGGUCAUUCUGGGCCUGGAGCAGCAAGUACGAGAGCGCAAUCUGAACCCCAAAGCGGCCUGUUUGAAACGUCGGGAAGAGGAGAAAGUGUCCGGAGUGGUGGGAGAUCCCCAGAUGACACUUUCAGCUUCACAUCCUGGUCUCGGAGACGGUCACAACCCCGUUGGACACAUGUAAAGGUGGUUUUGUCCCUUUGGAUACAGAGACCCGUCGGAUGCAAACCUUCGCUGUGACCUGCCGCCAUCCCAAACCCAUAUCACCUUCAAUCCCUUCUCAUACUGACACACGUGGACGGAUCCCGACGUGACGUAAGGGGUGGAAAAAAAAAAACCCAACUCGGUCCGAAACGAAAACAAACCAACACAAAAUUGCCUUAAGUAUAAAGCGCGGAACAGCCGAUAGUAUCACUCAGUGCGGAGGGGGCGGCGUCUUCUCUUGGCUUGUUCACAAGCAGCCAGCAGCAAAAUUGUGCCUAAGCUUAAUCUCUUUCUCUCUCUUUCUCUCUUUUCUCUUUCAAACAAAAGGAACCUUAGCAACGACGAGGAGAUUCUUUUUUUUUUUAUGUAGAACAAAUAAUAGCGGCGCCUUUUGGGUUUCGGUUUUGGUUUCGGUUUCUUUAUUGGUUUUUCUUUUUUAAGCUUCUUUUUGCGUAUGUUUUGUAAGCGACAAAAAGGAUUUGGUUUUUUAUUUCUUUAUUUUUUUGGGGGGUUUUAUUGUUUUUGUAUAAAUAAUGUCUUUGUACACCCCCCUCCUGUGUCCCCCCCCCCCCACGCUUUUCUGCUGCUGUUUCUAUAGUUAACGUUGCAUCUUUAGGAUUCAACCAGAAUAUUAAAAUUGUAUUAAGAGAGACUGGAUAUAAAGAGAGGAAUUCUCAGAUUCGGCUCAUGAAAAGCCACUAAAAGCGAAUGUAGCCACAGCAAGGAGGUGUUGGUCCUUGCCCGGCUUGUACCUUCCAUUACAAAAGAAACUCGUGCUCAAUUCUCCAUCUCUUUGCUUUGGCCACUUCUGAUUUGGGAUUAAGGAAAUCAACCAGCAGCGUGCAGCAGCUCCCCCCCUUUCCCCCAGUCCCAGCAUGGGGCUGGGCCGGAUCCCCUUUGGUUCCUGUUGGGUGCUGACCCAGGAGCAGCGUGAUGGGAGGACACAGAGCCUGGAAGGCAACAAGGCGCUGCCAAGGUAAGCAGAGCUGCAAUGGAUGGAAGCUGCCCACACCUGCAAGUGGCCGCCUGGAGCCCGAGGUGCUUCCAGGGGCAGAGCUGAACAAAGAUGACCGAACAAAGCUGGAGGCACUGGGAAGAGGCAGAUGGAACAGCAGCAGCAGUGGGGACACGGCGCCCGGUGAUGUGGGAGCGGAUGGACACACGGACACGGGCAGCUCAGCCCCCUGCCUGGCUGCAGUGUGAUCCCAUCCCCAUUCCAGAGCUGCAGCCAUUGGAAGUGGCAGCACUGCAGGAAGAGGGACGGCUCUGCAUCCCGGAGCAUGAUCACACACUGUCCAUCCUGCCAUGGGGACGUGGGGCAGCCGAUGCCAUCUGCACACACAGGAAAGGAGGGCAGCAAUGGGCAUCCAACCUGCACAGCAAUUCAGCUCUGAGCCGCUCCGGGUCACUGCAGAUGUGCCCAGCAGGAGGAAACCCCAAAACACGAAGGCUGCAGGAGGUGCUGAACCCUUCUGAAGUUGGCAAUGGAAGAGCAUCCGCCGGGAUUCUCUUGUUGUUGUUGUUGUUGUUGUUGUUGUUUCUUCCCUCUCCUUCGCCAUAAUUAACUUCCAAGAUGUUUUCUGCUCACUUCUUCCCAGCUCGGUGUGCUGAUGGUGUCAGCGCCCCGGGAUGAUGCUGUGCCCCAUUGCAGCAGUGUCUGCUGUGCUCUAGAAAUGGGGUCAGCUGCUUCCAAGGGGACCUGGGGGCACGUAGGGACAGCAAGCACAGCUGGGGCUCCAGCAGUAGGGUCUGUCUCUGUCCUUUGUUUUUGGGCCCUGUGCUCCUGUAUUGCUUCAGUACAGGGAAAGGGAAGGGCUGGCAAGCAGCAUUAGGUCCUGUGGCAUUUCCUUGGUGUAAGCUGGUGCUUUGUAGCUCUGCUUUGUGCUCUAGCAAAGGUUGCUGGAAGCACUCGGGACGUUGCUCGUCUCCCCAUGGCAAUAGCUCAGAAUGGGGCUCCUGCAGCAGCCCAUGAGCUUGCCGGCUUACAGCACUCCUGCUCUGGGUUCUGCUUGUGGGGCGGCCCUACAGCAGAGCUGGAUCCCCUUGGAGACCCCACAGCACUCCAGCCCUGCGAGCCCGAAACCAUGCAGUAAGCUUUAGAAGUGCUUCCCUGACGUGUUGAUUUAGCAACAAGAAUUUGAGGUGGUGGUCGUGUACAGAUGGAUCGAAAGAAAAAAUCUCCUAUUUUAAAAGAAAAAAAAUUACUAUAAAAUAAUAAUAAUCCAUAAGCUGUCAGCAAAAUAGAAAUGUUCUUGUUGGCAAAACGAGCUGACUUCAUGGCAGGGCACAGAGAAAAGCCCUUGUGCUGUGCUGGAGCUCGGGGAGGUUUUGGUGCUUCUCUUAUGCAUGGGGCAGCACAGUGGGGACAUUGCAUUGCUGUGCCUGUGUGUCUCACUGUGCAGUGCUGAGCUAUGGGGCAGGAGAUGGGGCAUAGCUGGGGCUGGGUGCUGUGCAGGAGGUUGGGGUCUGUUUGUUUGGCUAUUGGGAGUUUUUGCGUUGUCUGGAUAAGAAAAGCACAGUUGUGAUGUGAGACCUUCAUAGCCGUCAUUUGGGUGAGCGAUGACACGGUGUGAUGGUUCCUUUGAGGUUAUGGGAUUUCCCCAGGAGUCUGCAAUUUCAGCUUCAGUGCAGAAGCCUCUCAAAGCUGCGUCGUGUCUGAAGCCAGCAGAGCCCUCACCCCCCUCAGCUGAGGCCCUUGAGAAGCUUCUAACACCCAUCCCCUUCUAUCCCAGAGUAUUGCCUUUAUGGAGUGAUGUCUCAGUGGAGCCUGCAGCCCCGCUGCGUGCUGUGCCAGCCCCUGGCUUGGGGCUUUAGAAUAGAGCUGGGGAUGGGGAGGUGAAGCAGCAUUGGGCUGGGACAAGCAGAGAGCCCCACAUACAGUAUGGCCGACCCACAGCAUGUCACGGCUGCUGGAUCCCCCCAUUCCUGCUUAACACCAGCACUAGCAAGACCUGAUUGCUGCACCACAGGCUUGCACGAGGUCUUUGCCCUGUUAAAUCCUAUGCAACCCCCCUCUCCUCUCCCUCAGGGCUCUGCAGGUCCCAGCCCAGCCCCUUCUCUCUGCUCUCUGCCCCGCUGCUCUCAGGGUGCAGCAUCAUUUCCAGCAGCUCCAAAAGCAUUUCCAGACCUGUGCCCUGAGACUGUGGGUCGGAUGAGUGGCGAGAAGCAGGAGCAGCCCCCAGCAGUGAGCUGGGGAAGGCAGGCCUGUCCUAGAGCUCCUCGUGCACGCUUCCCCCUCCUGUGCCUUUGUGCGGUGCUCCUCCAGCAUCCUCCAUCCUGCAGUGGUUGGCAGUGGAGCUCUGCAGGCUGCUCUGCUGGCACAACAGUUUGGCUGCUGUUCCUUGGGUAGGAGCAGGGGCUCAGUGCCACUAUUUCUGUCCCCGGAUCCUGUGCCACCAGCCCAGCAGUGCAUGGAGGGCAGAGAAAACCCCUCUCACCCCUUACACCAUUCACACACACAGUGGGGAAGCAAUGGGGUUAUAUACCCCAACCCAAUGUGUGCUGAGGGUACAGCAGAGCAUCCCCACAGCCGUGCCCUCCUUCCCCCAUAUCCCCAAACCACCCCAAAAGCCACCAGCAUCCCAGCAAACAACAGCAGCACAGGGACAUGGGGGACGGCCACGUGUUGGGUUGUGGGGUGAGAAGGGCACCAAGUGUUUAAGAGGGGGGGGUGGGUGGGAUUAAUUCGUUUUCCAAGGCAAAACGAAGCACAUCCAUCCCAUGGUUGCUCUUUCUAUAUAUUUUUAUAGGACAGGGCGGGAUGGGAGAUGCCUGCAGAAGUUAUUUUUAAGCCCCAUUGAAAAGGUUUAGGUUGCUUUUGGGGUGGGGUUUUGUUUUGGGGGGGGGGGGUCUUGAAAUAAGAAAGAAAACGGUCCUUGCUUUCGAUGUCUAUGCUGCCUACCUGUAAAUCCAGAUGUACUUAAGUGGCUGAAAUCCUUGUUCUUAAAUCAGAUACACAUUAUAGUUUUGAACUAUAUAUAUAGUAAAUAUAUAUAUAUAUAUGCCUAACCCAGCAGAAAUAAGAAAAAAAGAAAAAAAAAGAUAAGUAAAGUAUUUGGGGGUGGGGAACCGCGUUGUUCUUUGAAAUGAAUCACAAUUUGGGGGAUGAAAUUGUGUUUCUGAGUGCCUCGAGAUAAGAAUUGUUUUCAUUUUUUUAAAUAAUUUUAUACAAGUGUCCAAACAGCUGGCUGGAUUAUUUGGAGUUUUUAAAUAAUCCUAACUUUUUUAAAGUAGAUUUUGAGAACUGUCCUGUAUAUAACAGUAAUGUAGCAAUAAAUGUGACAUUUUAUAACAAUA